UACGUAGGGUGCGAGCGUUGUCCGGAAUUACUGGGCGUAAAGAGCUCGUAGGUGGUUUGUCGCGUUGUUCGUGAAAACUCACAGCUCGACUGUGGGCGUGCGGGCGAUACGGGCAGACUGGAGUACUGCAGGGGAGACUGGAAUUCCUGGUGUAGCGGUGGAAUGCGCAGAUAUCAGGAGGAACACCGGUGGCGAAGGCGGGUCUCUGGGCAGUAACUGACGCUGAGGAGCGAAAGCGUGGGGAGCGAACAGG
rnacentral:rRNA from 1 species